AGUGAACGCUGGCGGUAGGCCUAACACAUGCAAGUCGAACGGCAGCACAGUAAGAGCUUGCUCUUACGGGUGGCGAGUGGCGGACGGGUGAGGAAUACAUCGGAAUCUACUUUUUCGUGGGGGAUAACGUAGGGAAACUUACGCUAAUACCGCAUACGACCUACGGGUGAAAGCAGGGGAUCUUCGGACCUUGCGCGAUUGAAUGAGCCGAUGUCGGAUUAGCUAGUUGGCGGGGUAAAGGCCCACCAAGGCGGCGAUCCGUAGCUGGUCUGAGAGGAUGAUCAGCCACACUGGAACUGAGACACGGUCCAGACUCCUACGGGAGGCAGCAGUGGGGAAUAUUGGACAAUGGGCGCAAGCCUGAUCCAGCCAUACCGCGUGGGUGAAGAAGGCCUUCGGGUUGUAAAGCCCUUUUGUUGGGAAAGAAAGGCAGCAGGUUAAUACCCCGCUGUUCUGACGGUACCCAAAGAAUAAGCACCGGCUAACUUCGUG
rnacentral:rRNA from 1 species